UUGAUCUGCAUCUGUGGAAACGGUAUUCAACAGUAUUUGCUUUCCUUUUCAGGUCGCAGUUUGCAGAAAUAAUAAAAGCGUAUGCAUUGCCUUCAUGUAGGCCCAGAGUACAAGCACAGAUGAAGAGCAGACACUGACUUCAUACUUCUGACAGGUCACAGUUUGCUAAAAUAAUAAAAGGGCGUGAUCAAUAGCUCGUACAUUGCCUUGAUGUGGACCCAGAGUGCUAGCACAGAGGAAAAGCAGACACUGACUUCACACUUCUGAUAGGAACCAGUUUGGUAAUAAAAUCAAAGCAUGUGAUCAACAGCUCGUACAUUAUCUUGGUGUGGACCCAGAGAGCAAGCACAGACAAAGAGCAGACACUGACUUCACACUUCUGAUAGGUGUAGUCAGAAAAUCAAAAGGCGUGAUGAACAGCUCAUUUAGGCUUGUUGUGUUCCCAAAGUACAAACAGAGAUGAAGAGCAGACACUGACUUCACAAUUCUAUUGGUUCACAGUUUGGUAAGAAAGUCAGAGGUCGUGAUCAACCGCUCAUACAUUGCCUCGGUGUGGAUCCAGAGUGCAAGAACAGAGAAAGAAUAGACACUGACUUCACACUUCUGAUAGGUAUGUGAUACAGGCCUCAGUUGUGCUUUGAUUCUGUUUCCCCCUUCUGUAUAGUAGGCUCCUCUCUCAAGGCAAGUUUCUCACCAAAUUUCCUCGGUUUAUUCUCUGGUUAGUAGUGUGUUCAGGUAUUUGUUUUUUGUUCAGUAGGUCAAUCAUGUCUGCCUCUCUGCAACCCCACCGACUGCAGC